UCAUCCUCCACGACAUCCUACCCUCCACAGACCAGAAAACACCUCUCAUAGGGACGUUCUGCACUGGGGUGUUCAUGUUUGUGGGCUGCAGCAUCGUGGAGACCAUCACAGUCAGCUUCCUGAUGCGGCUGGCCUCAAAGUGGGACACACACACACGCACGCCAGCUGGGAGCGGAGGAGUUGGUCUCUCCAUGGAGGAGAAGGAGGAGGAGAAGAAGGAGGAGAAGAAGGAGGAGGAGGAGGAGGAGGAGGGUAAGCCGUCCGGGUCUCAGUUGUGUCUCAUCCUGCGAGAGCUGCGGGCGUUGCGACUGCACGUCUGCCCUGGUCACCGAGAGCAUCCUGGGAAGACUGGCCUGUACCUGAAGACAGCAGCCAAGUGCAUCAACGCCGUCUACUUCCUGCUAUACAUCUGUGCGGUCGCUGUGUUCCUAGCGGAGAUCGCUAAAGAGUGGCUUCACUAGCUGCAUGUGGGAAUGAAUCACAGCAGGUGGCUAAAAAUAAACAAAUCCACAAUCCUGAUGUAGAAAACAACAAGUAGAGCAAGAUGAAGGCCAUGGGUUUUUAGUCUGAUAUACUGUAAUCCUGUACUGUGUGUGUAAUCCUGUACUGUGUGUGUAAUCCUGUACUGUGUGUGUAACCCUGUAGUUUAAUCCUGUACUGUGUGUGUAAUCCUGUACUGUGUGUGUAACCCUGUAGUUUAAUCCUGUACUGUGUGUGUAAUCCUGUACUGUGUUUUAAUCCUGUACUGUGUGUGUAAUCCUGUACUGUGUGUGUAACCCUGUAGUUUAAUCCUGUACUGUGUGUGUAAUCCUGUACUGUGUGUGUAAUCCUGUACUGUGUGUGUAACCCUGUAGUUUAAUCCUGCACUGUGUGUGUAAUCCUGUACUGUAAUCCUGUACUGUAAUCCUGUAAGAGCGUGACCUUUCAGGGUUAUUUCAAUCAAUAUUUUUGUUUGUGAUUGAAUAUGAAGUUGCAACUUCUAACUGUUUUGAUCAGUCUGCAGACCUUAUUCGUAAUUGGCAAUCGCGAUGACAUCGUUGAUUUUUUCAAUAGGGUGCUGCGCUGCGUUCAAUGCCUACAGCAAGACCCAGGAGAGGAGAGAUUUUUUAGAGAGCUUGAUGACCACACCAUUACCCUAAAUUCUAUGUUGUCUAUGGUUCAUUCUAGGGAAGGACCUGAUGGAGAGACUGUUGUUUUUUUUGGAGUCGAUAUGUUUUUGUUUUAAUAGGUUUGGUAACUUUAGAACUAGAAGAAGAGAUCAAGAAAACUGCCCUCCUCCUGUUCCACCUACAGCCAGAAAUGGCCUUCCAUGUCGCCCAC
ensembl:lncRNA